rnacentral:rRNA from 1 species
UUCAAGAGUACGUGAAACCGUCCAGGGGUAAACCUGCGAAACUCGAAUGAACGAACGGAGAGAUUCAUCGUUAUUCCGUGGCGCACUUGCGCGGGCACGAUGCUUUCGGCUCAGGUCGUGGGCACGUCUCGCGUUCGUCGUGUCCUCGGACGGCGUGCACUUCUCUCUUAGUAAUACAUCGCGACCCGUUCGAUGUCGGUCUAAGUGCCUCACGGGAGUCUUUGUACCUUUUAACGAAGUGAUGGAGACCGUGUCACGGUGCACCGACCGGCCGUCGGACGGUAGAUUUGACGAAACGCUCACGCGCUCGCGCGCGUCCGGCCCGACGCAAGGCAACGCAGUAUCCCACGUUCUGCCCGAGUGCGGACGAGGGUGGUGCGCGUCUGUUGUCGCAGCCGUGCUGUCUCGGACUGUGUGCGUAUCUGUCUGCGAUGAUUCAGUUUCGGGCACUCGCAGGACCCGUCU